rnacentral:rRNA from 1 species
GAUGAACGCUGGCGGCGUGCCUAAUACAUGCAAGUCGAGCGAACAGACGAGGAGCUUGCUCCUCUGACGUUAGCGGCGGACGGGUGAGUAACACGUGGAUAACCUACCUAUAAGACUGGGAUAACUUCGGGAAACCGGAGCUAAUACCGGAUAAUAUAUUGAACCGCAUGGUUCAAUAGUGAAAGACGGUUUUGCUGUCACUUAUAGAUGGAUCCGCGCCGCAUUAGCUAGUUGGUAAGGUAACGGCUUACCAAGGCAACGAUGCGUAGCCGACCUGAGAGGGUGAUGGGCCAAACUGGAACGGAGACACGGUCCAGACGCCUACGGGAGGCAGCAGUAGGGAAUCUUCCGCAAUGGGCGAAAGCCUGACGGAGCAACGCCGCGUGAGUGAUGAAGGUCUUCGGAUCGUAAAACUCUGUUAUUAGGGAAGAACAAAUGUGUAAGUAACUAUGCACGUCUAGACGGUACCUAAUCAGAAAGCCACGGCUAACUACGUG